rnacentral:lncRNA from 1 species
GGAGCAGGUUUUGAGUAUGUGAAGGAGAUGGGAUCCAAUGUAUAAGUGAGCAUAUUAUUACAAGACAGGAGCACAGACAUCCUUGGGCCUCUCCAAUGGAAGGAGAGGCUGUGUGAAGAGUAAAAGAUGCAGGAACAUCAGAAGAUAUGGUGCGGGGAAGAAUGAGGUAAUUCUUUAUUUUCUUUUUUUACUAUCUCUUUAUUCAGUGAAGGAAGAGGUAGAGACACUAGUUUGAGUUGUGUUGAUAACAAAAGAAAGAAAGAGAAAGAAAGAAAGAAAGAAAGAAAGAAAGAAAGAAAGAAAAAGAGGUGUGAAUAUGUCUUCCUGGAGAAUAGAACAAACAGUUGACUGUAGAGAGGUAGAGGAUUGUACAGCACUGGUAAAUUACUUAAGGUUUGCUGUCAUAAAUUUAAAGCACACCCCAGUCAGCACAAUUAUAUUAAACAUAAUGCUUAUGAAGCAGAUGGGAGUUGUGUAACCAGGUCUGUGGUUUUGCUACUUCCGUGUGAUGGAAUGAAAAGGGAACAAAAGAAUUGAGGGUGUGUGCAAGGAGUGGUCGUUAUGAUGGGUUAUGGAACACAAGCUCAAAAUCAGAGGAAAUGAGAAAGAGGCAAACUUUGAAAAAAUUGUUGAAUCAAGCAAUAUAGCAUUUAUUGCUUGAAAAAUCAUCUCAUUGAAAUCACUAGACAUUCUGAAGGAGAUAGAUAAAGCAAACAUUUUUAAAAUGCAAAACUGUUCUUACAACAUGUAGAGUCAAUACACAGAAGCCAAUACUGAAAAGUGAGGUGAAACUAAAAUGAUAAGAUAACAUGAAACCAGGAUAUACUAUGGAGACAUCAAACCUAAAGCUUUAGUUUUAAUGGCCAUAUUUAGGAAAGGGAGACAAGUAAUGGUGAGGAUUGAAACUUAGGCUGCCACAUGAACUUGGAACAUUUCAGUGACUACGUCCUCAGUGAAAAAGUCAAUUGGCAAAAUAAAUAAAUAAAUAAAUAAAUAAAUAAAUAAAUAAAUAAAUUUAAAGUAAUAAAAAAUAAAAAAAUCUAAUCUCUGCUUAGAUUGCAAAAUAUGGAUUCAUAAUUAUAGCCAACUAAACAUUCAUUCAAGAUUAAGGGUAACAGACAUUUUCACAUGAACAAAAGCAGAGAUGCUUGAUGUUUACUUCAAUAAUACAGAAAACAAGCCCAGAGAAAAAUAUGAAAUCCUAUAAGGAACGGUGAUAAAAUAAUCAAAUGUAAAAUAAAUAUAAAAAUUGCUGUAUACACCAAAAAUAAUAACAUUCACAGGGGGAUGCACUCAAAACAGGAUACAAUUAAAAUAUUAAAAAAGCAUCAACAGGUACGUUGAAGGAAGGUGACUGGAAUUAAAAUGCUUUUUAGUUUUUAGAGAAAGGGUAGAGACACUGAUUAAGACUUUAGUAGAUUAAAUGUGUCUUGUUAAAAUUUCAAGGCUGAGUAUAGUGUUUGAAAGAGUACAGAUGAAAAGGCAUUGAAGAAUUUUAUCUGAAAGAAAGCAAGAAGAAAGAAAUGAGGUGCAUAGGAAAAUAGAACAGACAAAGCACAAAAGAGGGUAGAAGUAACUCUAAAUAUAUUAGUAACAAUAAAUGUAAAUGGAGCAAACUAGCCAGGUCAAUUCAGAUAGAGUUGACCACCAAACACAUUAGGUUUUAGGGCAUCAACCCCCUGUGCAGUCAAAAAUCCAUGUAUAACUUUUGACUCCCCCAAAUUGUUAAGUGCUAAUAUUGCACUGUUGACUGGAAGCCUUACUGAUAACAUAGUCAGUUUACCUAUAUUCUGUAUGUUAUUGGUAUUAUAUGCUGUAUUCUUAUAAUAAAGUAAGAUAGAGAAAAUAAAAUGUUAUUAAAAAUCAUAAGGAAAAGAAAAUACAUUUACAGUAUAUAAUAUGAAAUGUAUGAAUAUGAAAUGUAUGAAACUCCAUUUAUAGUUAUUUACAUUUACAUUACAGUAUUAUACUGUAUUUAUUUAAAAAAAUCUGUGAGUGGGCCUACACAGAUUGAAUCUGUGUUGUUCAAAGGUCAACUGCAUGUUGGAAAAAACAUAUAGCUAUAUGUCAUUUCUAAGAUACCCUUUUAAGAUGAAAACACAGAUAUUUUGAAAGGAGAAAGAUUGAUAUGUAUAUAUACAUAUGUGUAUGUAUAUAUGUACAUGUAUAUACAUGUAUAUACAUGUAUAUGUAUAUAUAUAUGUAUAUACAUAUACAUAUGUGUAUAUAUAUACAUAUUUCUUUGUUCAAUCUUUAUAUAUAUUUUAUAUAUAUAUAUAUAUAUAUAUAUAUUUGCUUAACCAACUGAGCCACCCAGGUGCCCUGUAUCUGAUUAAUUUCUAAUCUUAGAUAUAUAUGAUAUGUAUAUCGUAUAUGUAAAUAUUAACUAAAAGAAACUAAAAGUAACUAAAAGAAAAUAUGUAAAUAUUAACUAAAAGAAACAGCUACAUUAAUAUCAGAUAACAUAGUCCUUAAAGAGGAAAAGAAUUAUCUGGGUUAAAAGAGGUUACUAUCUAUUGUGGUUCCUAAAAGUGGUAAUGGGCUUAUCAGCAAAGGGAAAAACUGUAAGGUCUGGCAAACACUUCAGAUUAAUUACAUAAAGAUAUAGCAGGUGGAACUUCUUAUUGGUAAGCCUAUCAGAGAAGCUAGUUUUGAAAGAGAGAAUGUGUCCAUGAAUAAAGGCAAGGGGGCAUGUAUUUGUCUUUCAAACUCAUGAUGUCUAGGGUGGGCCAGGAAAAGAAAGCUGUAAGGGCUAUAAGUGAAACAGAAUAUUAGCAGGUUUCAUUCUGAGUAUAACUGAAAAAACUUCACAUAUGAUAUUUUUAAGAAGUAAAAAUAACAUUACACUUUUAAGUGUUUCCUUUACCUUAGGCUUGGCCAAAUUGCAAACUUAAAGAGAGAAGAAACAGUCUCAGGGAAGGGAAAGUCAGAUUUCCUAAGUGAAUUUUUACAUAAACAGGAUGAAAUUAAUUAAUGGAACUGAUUUACUGAGUUUGCUCAGGGGUCUGAAUCUCAUAUUUUGCAAUGCUGUUAUGAUGAUUGUAGUGGAUACACUUUCCUUGACGCAUUUUUGAGAGCCACUUUUUGGUGUGAAAGAGACUCUAGAUAUCAGGAGAAAACAGUGAUUUGUCCUAAAUUAUUUUUACAUUUACUUUUCUCCUUGAAUUAAUAGAAAAAUACAAACAUCCUUUGUUAAACAUUGUGUCUGACUAAUUUCUCUUUUUCUAAGUUUAUUUUUAUGUAUUUUUGAGAGAGAGAUAGAGUUCCAACAGGGGAGGGACAGACAGAGAGAGACAGAAUCCCAGGCAGACUCCAUGCUAUCCCCACAGAGCUGGAUGAGGGGCUCGAAUUCACAAAGCAUGAGAUCAUGACCUGAGCCAAAAUCAAGAGUCGAUGCUUAACUGACUGAGCCACCCAGACAUCCUGCAUCUGACUUAUUUCUAAUAUUAGAAUAAUUGUGGUUCAAUGUGAAGUCAUUAGAAAUGGAGUGGUGAAUAUAUAUUUAACCCUAUCACAUGAGAAAUUAAAUGUUCUUUUAACUUUCUCCAAAAGUAAAAGAAAAAAAUGGAUGCCAAAAAUAGUCUAAAAAAGAAUUGAUAUCCCAAACUUUAUUUUGCUUUAUUUCAAAUAUUGGGUUCUCUUCAGUGUAUAAAAUUAGAAUCUGAUUUUAUUCUAAAUGACCACAACAGUAAAAUAGAACUUAAAAACCAGGCAAAAUGAGCUUAUGUGAGGCUACACAGUUUUCAGAUUACAGUUUCUCUAUGCAUUAAAUCAUCAGUGGUCUUUGAUAAUUACAAAAUGAGUCUGAAUAAUAUUUGCUAUAUUAUAUAGAUUUUUUUAUUUUUAUUUUUUAUUUUUUUAACGUUUAUUUUUGAGAGAGAGAGACAGAGCGUGAGCAGGGGAGGGGCAGAGAGAGAGGGAGACACAGAAUCUAAAGCAGGCUCCAGGCUCUGAGCUGUCAGCACAGAGCCCACCGCGGGGCUCAAACUCAUGAACCAUGAGAUUAUGACCUGGGCCAAAGUCAGAUGCUUAACUGACUGAGCUACCCAGGCACACCUAGAUUUUAUUUUUUAACUACAGUGAUUUCCAUGGCUUAUCAUCUACAAAAAUAACACAUAAGGGAAUUAUCAUGGCUUAAAGUAUAAAAAAAUGAAGUCAUUCAACUUAAGUGAACAUAGCUCAGAAGGAAAUAAUUAAUUUCCUUUUCUUGAAAUGGGAAUGCUUAUUUUCUCUCUGGUUAUUAAGUGAAUACUUAAAAGUCAAAUGUUUAGAUAAAUAUUUCUCAACUUAGCCAAUGUAGUUAUUAAAUUGAUAUCUGAUUUCAACACUUUAUUAAGACUUUUAGUAAAAAGCAUACAUAUUCUUAUUAAGCAUAAUUUGUGACUUUAUUAACUGAAAAAAAUCUAUGGCCAACAACAUCACAUUUUUAGUGCUUUGAAUCAAUAAAACACUCUCAAAAUCUAUAUUGUACUUGCUAAUAAUUGUCUUCUUAACAAAUACAGCUAUUCUGCUCUCCACUGAAGCAAAUAACUCUAAAAUAUAUAUUCUCUAAAAAAGACUUCACUAAUUAGAAGAGAGCAUUUUCCUGUAUCCUUAAUCUUUAGGCCAAAAAAUACUUUUGAAACAUUAACAUAUGUUGCUUUUGCUUCCUUGGUCUUGUCCAUAGAAAAUUACAAUAAAGAUGAAUAUAGAUCAAGAAAAAAGAAUGUCCUGUCUUUAUGUUUCUUAAAAAGUCUAUUUUUUUACUUCCUUUUCCAGUUAAGAUAUAGAAAGUCCCAAGAGAUUCUGCUAAAAUAUCAGCAAAGAAGAUGCAAAGAAAGCUAAUGGAGCUGAUUUCCAGAAAGUAAUCAACUCUUUCUAGAAAAGAGAGGCCAAUAGCUGCUCCUAUCUUCAGACAUGCAACAAUAAGAUCAGGGAAAUCCAUCAUAGGUAGG